GUCGAGCGAGAAAGGGGAGCAAUCCCCGAGUAAAGCGGCAAACGGGUGAGUAACACGUGGGUAACCUACCCUCGAGUGGGGAAUAACAUCUCGAAAGAGGUGCUAAUACCGCAUGACAUCGAGAGGGCUCUGGCCUUCUCGGUCAAUGGUCGGGAUCUUCGGACCGACCGCUUGAGGAUGGGCCCGCGGCUGAUUAGCUAGUUGGUGGGGUAAUGGCCUACCAAGGCGACGAUCAGUAGCCGGACUGAGAGGUUGAUCGGCCACACUGGAACUGAGACACGGUCCAGACUCCUACGGGAGGCAGCAGUGAGGAAUUUUGGACAAUGGGCGAAAGCCUGAUCCAGCAACGCCGCGUGGACGAUGAAGGUCUUCGGAUCGUAAAGUCCUGUCGAGUGGGAAGAAAUGCAGGAGGGUUAACAGCCCUUCUGUCUGACUGUACCACCAGAGGAAGCCCCGGCUAACUCCGUGCCAGCAGCCGCGGUAAUACGGAGGGGGCAAGCGUUGUUCGGAAUUAUUGGGCGUAAAGGGCGCGUAGGCGGCGAGGUAAGUCAGACGUGAAAUCCCCCGGCUUAACCGAGGAAUUGCGUCUGAUACUCCCUUGCUUGAGGCCAGGAGAGGAGAGUGGAAUUCCCAGUGUAGCGGUGAAAUGCGUAGAUAUUGGGAGGAACACCGGUGGCGAAGGCGGCUCUCUGGACUGGUU
rnacentral:rRNA from 1 species